UACGGGGGGGGCAAGCGUUGUUCGGAAUUACUGGGCGUAAAGGGCUCGUAGGCGGCCAACUAAGUCAUACGUGAAAUCCCUCGGCUUAACCGGGGAACUGCGUCUGAUACUGGAUGGCUUGAGAUUGGGAGAGGGAUGCGGAAUUCCAGGUGUAGCGGUGAAAUGCGUAGAUAUCGGGAGGAACACCUGUGGCGAAAGCGGCUCACUGGACCAUUACUGACGCUGAUGCUCGAAAGCUAGGGGAGCAAACAGG
rnacentral:rRNA from 1 species